rnacentral:rRNA from 1 species
GAUGAACGCUGGCGGUGCGCCUAAUGCAUGCAAGUCGAGCGACGCACUUCGGAGGGGUAACCCACUGAAGUGACGGAGCGGCGAACGGGUGAGUAACACGUGAGCAACCUGCCCCACAGAUCGGGAUAGCCCAUGGGAAACCUGGAUUAAUACCGGAUGUCCUCGAAUGACCGCAUGGUCAACCGAGGAAAGGCCUUUGUGCUGUGGGAUGGGCUCGCGACUUAUCAGUUAGUUGGUGGGGUAACGGCCUACCAAGACGAUGACGAGUAGCUGGUCUGAGAGGACGAUCAGCCACACUGGAACUGAGACACGGUCCAGACUCCUACGGGAGGCAGCAGCAGGGAAUCUUGCGCAAUGGGCGAAAGCCUGACGCAGCGACACCGCGUGGGGGAUGAAGGCCUUUCGGGUUUGUAAAACCCCUUUC